GAUGAACGCUAGCGGCAGGCCUAACACAUGCAAGUCGAGGGAGAGGUUACCUUCGGGUAACCAAAACCGGCGCACGGGUGCGUAACGCGUAUACAAUCUGCCUUUCACAUAGGGAUAGCCCGAAGAAAUUUGGAUUAAUACCUAAUGGUAUAUAAGAGCGGCAUCGCUUUUAUAUUAAAGCUACGGUGGUGAAAGAUGAGUAUGCGUUCUAUUAGCUAGUUGGAGAGGUAACGGCUCCCCAAGGCGACGAUAGAUAGGGGUUCUGAGAGGGAUGUCCCCCACACUGGUACUGAGAUACGGACCAGACUCCUGCGGGAGGCAGCAGUGAGGAAUAUUGGACAAUGGUCGGAAGACUGAUCCAGCCAUGCCGCGUGCAGGAUGAAGGUCCUAUGGAUUGUAAACUGCUUUUGUAAGGGAAGAAUAAGGAGUACGUGUACUUUGAUGACGGUACCUGACGAAUAAGCAUCGGCUAACUCCGUG
rnacentral:rRNA from 1 species